rnacentral:lncRNA from 1 species
GACCAGGCGGCUGGGCAGCGCCAGUUGAAAGCGGUUGAGCAGGCCGGGCGCAGUGGCUCACGCCUGUAAUCCCAGCACUUUGGGAGACCAAGGCGGGCCGAUCACGGGGUCAGGAGAUCGAGACCAUCCUGGCUAACACGGUGAAACCCCAUCUCUACUAAACAUACAAAAAAAAAAAAGUAGCCGGGCGUGGUGGCGGGCGCCUGUAGUCUCAGCACUUUGGAAGGCUGAGGCGGGCGGAUCACGAGGUCAGGAGAUGGAGAACAUCCUGGCUAACAGGUGAAACCCCGUCUCUACUAAAAGUACAAAAACCAAUUAGCCGGGUGCGGUGGCGGGCGCCUGUAGUCCCAGCUACUCCGGAGGCUGAGGCAGGAGAAUGGCGUGAACCCAGGAGAUGGAGCUUGCAGUGAGCCGAGAUCGCGCCAAUGCACUCUAGCCUGGACGACACAAGGAGACUCCAUCUCAAAACAACAACAACAACAACAACAACAACAACAACAACAACAAAAACAACAAAAACCAGCUGAGCAGCGCGGGCCUUCUGGCAGCGGGUCCAGCUCCAGGGCGCCCUAGGGCAGCGGCGUGCAGUGUUCGGGUAAUAGGACGCAGACGGUGGGGUCGCCGGGGGCUUCGGGGUGGCCUCGGCCCCAGGCCAUCCAGCCCUGUGGACCGAAUGGAGUCCCACACGCUGUUGAGGUAGUUGUGGGUUCCCCUGGCCUCGGGCUCGGCGCAGGGUCAGCGCUCCUGCAGGCGGCGCUUGCGGUACGGGCUGGUGAAAGUGGAGACGGACGGCAGGAUGGAUUCACUUGGCGACAUGGCGGGGAGCUGGGAAGACGGACACCGGCUGGGAAAGGGUUUCUUCUGUCCAUAAAAGCUACUCCAAUGGCUGUGGGAGACUUAAUUCCAAUUCCAGGUGAUACAGCCGUCAGUCUCCCACUAGCUGUAGGAUGGUGUGCUGCAGUUCACAGACCUAAGUCAAUGUUAGUCUACCACUGUACGUCUGGUAACCUCAAUCCCUGCAACCGGAGCAAAAUGUGAUUCCAGGUCUUGGCAACCUCUGAAAUUCCAACUCCAUUUGCGAGAGCUUUGAGGAGGCCAUAUGCUGAUUUCACCACAAGCAACUUCACAACCCAGUACUGGAAUGCCAUCAGCCAGCAGGCCCCUGCCAUUAUCUGUGACUUCUAUCUGUGGCUCAUUGGAAGGAAACCCAGCUACCGAAGGAAGAUACCCUCAUCAACCCAAUUUUACAAAUGGAGAAAUAGAAGCUCAGGGAAGAAUCUGAAGUAGUCUCAAAGGAAGUGACAGGAAGGAUGUGGAGAAAGCUGAGUGUCAAAGUCAGUAUUCAAGACCGGAUUUACUGCUACUUAGAGAUGAAUGAAGAAAUCAGAGGGAACGCAGUGUGCUGAUGCUAAAGCGGCUGUCACCACCCAGCUGUGUGACAUAGGACAUCUUCUUUCUCUGUCUCACUUGACUAAUAUGUUGUGUCAGGGGAGACAUGAUUGUAAUUGCCUAAAGCAAUUCUUGUGAUCAAGAAUCAGAAGCAUGAACAGUAUUGCCCUCUGUGUUAGCCCCUUUAUAAGGGAGGAAGUCAUCUUCAGCAUGCUGAAUUGUCAUCUUUCUUAGCAGUGCAAAUGACUAAAACUUAGCCAAUGUAGAGUUUGUCCAAAUUUGGAGCUCAUAACUCAGUUCUUGAGCAAAGUGAAAAGAAAACAUUGUGAUUAUGGGGAAAAUAUUUGUACGGGACUUAUCAAAUAAAGAUAGGAAAAGAAGAAAACUCAAAUAUUAUAGGCAGAAAUGCUAAAGGUUUUAAAAUAUGUCAGGAUUGGAAGAAGGCAUGGAUAAAGAACAAAGUUCAGUUAGGAAAGAGAAACACAGAAGGAAGAGACACAAUAAAAGUCAUUAUGUAUUCUGUGAGAAGUCAGACAGUAAGAUUUGUGGGAAAUGGGUUGGUUUGUUGUAUGGUAUGUAUUUUAGCAAUAAUCUUUAUGGCAGAGAAAGCUAAAAUCCUUUAGCUUGCGUGAAUGAUCACUUGCUGAAUUCCUCAAGGUAGGCAUGAUGAAGGAGGGUUUAGAGGAGACACAGACACAAUGAACUGACCUAGAUAGAAAGCCUUAGUAUACUCAGCUAGGAAUAGUGAUUCUGAGGGCACACUGUGACAUGAUUAUGUCAUUACAUGUAUGGUAGUGAUGGGGAUGAUAGAAGGAAGAACUUAUGGCAUAUUUUCACCCCCACAAAAAUCAGUUAAAUAUUGGGACACUAACCAUCCAGGUCAAGAAAAGUCACAUGCCAUAGCCAUGGUAUUGCACAUCAUUCAUCUUGCAUUCUUUGAGAAUAAGAAGAUCAGUAAAUAGUUCAGAAGUGGGAAGCUUUGUCCAGGCCUGUGUGUGAACCCAAUGUUUUGUUUAGAAAUAGAACAAGUAAGUUCAUUGCUAUAGCAUAACACAAAAUUUGCAUAAGUGGUGGUCAGCAAAUCCUUGAAUGCUGCUUAAUGUGAGAGGUUGGUAAAAUCCUUUGUGCAACACUCUAACUCCCUGAAUGUUUUGCUGUGCUGGGACCUGUGCAUGCCAGACAAGGCCAAGCUGGCUGAAAGAGCAACCAGCCACCUCUGCAAUCUGCCACCUCCUGCUGGCAGGAUUUGUUUUUGCAUCCUGUGAAGAGCCAAGGAGGCACCAGGGCAUAAGUCUACUCACUUAUAUCUGUUUGUCUGGAACAUAACCCAUGUUUGUUUUUACAACAAAUAAAAUUGAUCUUGAAUAA